rnacentral:ncRNA from 1 species
UAUUGGUAUCAAGAGCGGGAUUAAAUUCUCCUCCAACCUGCCAACUCCGGCAAGGUGGAAAAAAUGAUGCGGUUAACCAACAACCAAAGGAGUCUAA